UGUUCAUGUCUAUGGGCUCCGGUGAACAAUUAACACCAGCUGGGCCGUGUGCUCGUUCAUUCAUCUAACCAAUAAAAAAGACUACGAACUAUGUGUAAGACUUCAUACAGCUCUAGGCCUUUCAUUUUCUAUUAUAACUCACAACACUAAUAGCCUUAGAUAUCAUCCUAGCGAACCCUCAAUACGAAGGUAGGGGAGCGGGGGGUAGCCCCGGCCGGCGGGUAGCCUCGGCCACCGCAAAUACUAGUGACUCUCGUAGUGUUACCUAUAAGUACGUGUUAUGUCUGUGUGCUUUUACUAUCCAUUCGAAAAAUACUGACAGUUGGAAGUCACCCGACCACGGUGCUCGGACAUAAAUUGAGUAUUUUGUUUUUGGCGGACUGGUUGCGCGGGAUACCAAUUGUUUCGGAGGCUAUUUUUAUUGGAUAAACUGGUACAAUGCCCAAAUUUAGGAAUAGAACUACAAAUCGCGGAGACUGGAGUAAAGAGAAUAUGAAAAAAGCAAUUCAAGCUGUCCUUGACAAAAAAUAUUCUGAAAGAGCAGCCGCAGACCGAUACGAAGUCCCACGUACCUACUUCUUUGCAAGAUCGUAUUAAAGGUAUAAAACAAGGUUAUCAGGUCAGUCUUAAACCAAAAUUAGGACGCUUUGAACAAACAUUCAAACCUGAGUUUGAAAGACAAACUCUGUGAGCAUGUUAUAAAGCUAGAUAACCGUCUUAUGCCUUUAACAAGAAGUGAGUUUUUGCGCCUUGCCUUUGAUUUAGCAGAAAAGCUUCAAAUUCCUCACAGGUUUAACAAGGACAAACGAAUGGCAGGAAAAGAUUUUUUCUGCGAAUUUAAGAAAAUAAAUCCAGAUGUGGCAUUAAGAACUCCUGAGGCAACUAGCUUGAUGCGUUCUACCAAAGGUGCGGUAAAGACACCAAAGGUGCGGUAAAGGUCAAGAGAAACAUAAAAACGAGAAUAAAAGUUAAGAAGGUUGCAUCUCAGCCAGAUUCGUCACAUCAGGAGACGGAAUGCAUUAUUUGCGGUGAAACAUUCGAUGAGGAUUGGAUCCAAUGCAAAAUUGCAAAAUAUGUGAGGACUGGGCUCACGAAGCUUGUGUAGAUUUAAAUCCAUCUCAUUUAUACUAUUACUGUGAUGUAUGUGUUGCCAAAAAACGCACUAAUCUUUAAAUACCUGGGUGGCCGGAGCUACCCGCCAUCUUUAAGGGAUACCAAAAUUUGAUUACUUUUUCAAGUGGCUUUAAUUACAGAGGGAUUAUGUUGUUGUCUGAGUUUUCGAUAUUUAUCUUAAAUAAAUAUAAUGUUGAUUAUUUUUAA